GGUGAACGCUGGCGGCGUGCCUAACACAUGCAAGUCGAACGGAGAUAUGAUUUCGGUUGUAUCUUAGUGGCGAACGGGUGAGUAACGCGUGAGCAACCUGACUCUUAGAGGGGGAUAACACUCGGAAACGGGUGCUAAUACCGCAUAAGACCACGACAUGGCAUCAUGACGAGGUCAAAGGAGCAAUCCGCUGAGAGAGGGGCUCGCGUCCCAUUAGAUAGAUGGCGGGGUAACGGCCCACCAUGUCAACGAUGGGUAGCCGAGCUGAGAGGCUGAUCGGCCACACUGGAACUGAGACACGGUCCAGACUCCUACGGGAGGCAGCAGUGGGGAAUAUUGGGCAAUGGGCGCAAGCCUGACCCAGCAACGCCGCGUGAGGGAAGAAGGCUUUCGGGUUGUAAACCUCUGUCCUUGGUGACGAAAAAAAUGACGGUAGCCAAGGAGGAAGCCCCGGCUAACUACGUG
rnacentral:rRNA from 1 species